GUCUUCUCUUAAAGCACCCUGCUAAAACUGCAGGAGCCAGACCUCUGGUUUAGCUCAUGUGGCCGUGUAAGCAUGGGUACACCAGGGAAGGAAAUGAAAGGCACAGUAUCAAAAAUGAGACUGGGAGGGACCUCUUUCAUAAUGUCCAAUGUCCUUGGUCUCACGAUCCUGUGUUACAUCC